rnacentral:lncRNA from 1 species
GCUGUCUGGGUAACGGGGUCUGCAGCGGAGCCGCGAUGGAUGUGGAGGAGGUGAAAGCGUUCAGAGACCGCUGUUCUCAGUGUGCUGCUGUCUCCUGGGGCCUUACCAAAGAAGGCAAAUAUUACUGUACUUCCUGACACAGAUGCAGCGAUCUGAGGAAGUGGUGAGCGCUGCAGAUAUCCCCAACACCAAGAUCAACUCCAUCAACAGGGGGCUGAGACAGAGAAGCAAGCAUGGAUGAAGUCUUACACAAUUUUUGGAAGCGCUACCUUCAGAAGAGCAAGCAGGCCUAUUGUAAAAACCCAGUUCGUACAAGUGGAAGGAAAGCCAAAGUGAGCCCUGGACCCUGACAUGAGACACUAAAAUUCACUUUGUGUGGCAGAAAGACAAAGGCGUUUUUUUUUUUUUUUUUUUUUUUUGUGACUGCUUGAGUUUGACUGUGGUGCUUGCCUGUAGAUUUUCAGGGAGGAGGCUCCUGGUGCAAUCCAGAAUGAUCUAGACUUUACAGUGAAUUGUGGCCAUUUAUUAAACUAGUUGUAAC